UAGCAUUCGAACUUUUACCAAAAUUUCAAUUUGCAUUCUAUUCUUUUAAAAUAAACUUAAAGACCUCUAAACCUUAAUAAAAUUCUUUCGUUUUCAAUAUUUUAUAUUUUGAAUAGACAAUUUAUACCGUUAAAUAUGAUUAAAGUAUUUUAACCUAAACCAAAAUUUUUACUUUUUGACAUCAUUUACUGCAUAAUUA
rnacentral:lncRNA from 1 species